AAUGAACGCUGGCGGCGCGCCUAAUACAUGCAAGUCGAGCGAGAAGACGUAGCAAUACGUUUGUAAAGCGGCGAACGGGUGAGGAAUACAUGGGUAACCUACCCUCGAGUGGGGAAUAACUAGCCGAAAGGUUAGCUAAUACCGCGUACGCUCCUUGGACUUCGGUUCAGGGAGGAAAGCGAUACCGUGGGUAUCGCGCUCUUGGUUGGGCUCAUGUCCUAUCAGCUUGUUGGUGAGGUAACGGCUCACCAAGGCUUCGACGGGUAGCUGGUCUGAGAGGACGAUCAGCCACACUGGCACUGCGACACGGGCCAGACUCCUACGGGAGGCAGCAGUAAGGAAUAUUGCGCAAUGGGCGAAAGCCUGACGCAGCGACGCCGCGUGGGGGAUGAAAGUC
rnacentral:rRNA from 1 species